AUUGAACGCUGGCGGCAUGCCUUACACAUGCAAGUCGAACGGUAACGGGCCUUCGGGUGCCGACGAGUGGCGAACGGGUGAGUAAUACAUCGGAACGUGCCCGAUCGUGGGGGAUAACGAGGCGAAAGCUUUGCUAAUACCGCAUACGAUCUACGGGUGAAAGCAGGGGACCGCAAGGCCUUGCGCGGACGGAGCGGCCGCUGGCAGAUUAGGUAGUUGGUGGGAUAAAAGCUUACCAAGCCGACGAUCUGUGCUGGUCUGAGAGGAUGAUCAGCCACACUGGGACUGAGACACGGCCCAGACUCCUACGGGAGGCAGCAGUGGGGAAUUUUGGACAAUGGGCGCAAGCCUGAUCCAGCCAUGCCGCGUGCAGGAUGAAGGCCUUCGGGUUGUAAACUGCUUUUGUAUGGAACGAAAAGCCUUCUUUUAAUACAGGAGGGUCAUGACGGUACCGUAAGAAUAAGCACCGGCUAACUACGUG
rnacentral:rRNA from 1 species